rnacentral:rRNA from 1 species
GACGGAGGAUGACAGUGUUAUCCGGAAUCACUGGGCGUAAAGCGUCUGUAGGUGGUUUCAAAAAGUCCACUGUUAAAGAUUGAAGCUUAACUUCAAAAAUGCCGUGGAAACUUUGAAACUUGAGUAUGAUAGGGGUAGAGGGAAUUUCCAGUGGAGCGGUGAAAUGCGUAGAUAUUGGAAAGACCACCAAUGGCGAAGGCACUCUACUGGGCCAUUACUGACACUGAGAGACGAAAGCUAGGGGAGCAAAUGGG